rnacentral:lncRNA from 1 species
GGGGUGAGCUUAAUUAUAUGUGAUGAAAAGGUUCAAGUUUGGGGUUACAUGGGGGAAACUGAAAGGCAAUUGAGCUCAAAUGUUGUGAAAGAAAAGUACAUGAGAAAAAGAAAAGAAAAGAAGAAAAAGCAUGAAGAUGGGCUCAAUGCAAAAGAAAAGGGAAAAAGUUGGGAAUAAGACAGAUUGGUAAUGAAGAGAGUUGUGCUUAAAUGUUGAAUACUAUGGUAGCUCUCUUAACUCAAGGAUUUUGCAUUCCAGAAAAACCAAUUCUUUUUGUUAGCCCAGCCUCAUUACAAGCAUUGCAAAAGUCCUUUUGAUGAAUGACAAUUUUGUUUCAUGUGACUUGUGAAUAAUAGAGUGUUGGAGUGUUACCCUAAACAC